rnacentral:rRNA from 1 species
UACGUAGGGUGCAAGCGUUAAUCGGAAUUACUGGGCGUAAAGCGUGCGCAGGCGGUUUUGUAAGUCUGUCGUGAAAGCCCCGGGCUCAACCUGGGAAUUGCGAUGGAGACUGCAAGGCUUGAAUCUGGCAGAGGGGGGUAGAAUUCCACGUGUAGCAGUGAAAUGCGUAGAGAUGUGGAGGAACACCGAUGGCAAAGGCAGCCCCCUGGGUCAAGAUUGACGCUCAUGCACGAAAGCGUGGGGAGCAAACAGG